rnacentral:rRNA from 1 species
AGGACGAACGCUGGCGGCGUGGAUUAGGCAUGCAAGUCGAGCGACGGCAUCUUUCGGGAUGUACGGAGCGGCGAACGGGUGAGUAACGCGUGAACAACCUGUCCCUUUGUUCCGGAUAAUUGGAAGAAAUUCCUUGUAAUACGGGUGAGGAUGGUCUUUUGGCAUCGAGAGACCAGGGAACACGAAAGUGGUAUUGGGAGGGGUUCGCGACCUAUCAGGUAGUUGGUGUGGUAACGGCACACCAAGCCAACGACGGGUAGCUGGU